UACGUAGAUGGCAAGCGUUUGUUCGGAAUUACUGGGCGUAAAGCGCGUGUAGGCUGCGAUGUAAGUCAGGUGUGAAAGCCCUCAGCUUAACUGAGGAAGUGCACUUGAUACUGUGUCGCUUGAGUGUCGGAGGGGGUGGCGGAAUUCCCGGUGUAGAGGUGAAAUUCGUAGAUAUCAGGAAGAACACCAAUGGCGAAGGCAGCUCUCUGGUCCGGUACUGACGCUGAGGUGCGAAAGCGUGGGGAGCAAACAGG
rnacentral:rRNA from 1 species